GCCAUGGUGGCACAGUGGUUAAGCACUCAGCUGCUAACUGAAAGAUUGGUGGUUCAAACCCACCCUGUGGCU
rfam:Loxodonta africana unplaced genomic scaffold scaffold_4, whole genome shotgun sequence.